GGGGCGCGUAAUACAUGCAAGUAGAACGCUGAAGAGAGGAGCUUGCUCUUCUUGGAUGAGUUGCGAACGGGUGAGUAACGCGUAGGUAACCUGCCUGGUAGCGGGGGAUAACUAUUGGAAACGAUAGCUAAUACCGCAUAAAAUUGAUUAUUGCAUGAUAAUUAAUUGAAAGAUGCAAUUGCAUCACUACCAGAUGGACCUGCGUUGUAUUAGCUAGUUGGUGAGGUAACGGCUCACCAAGGCGACGAUACAUAGCCGACCUGAGAGGGUGAUCGGCCACACUGGGACUGGGACACGGCCCAGACUCCUACGGGAGGCAGCAGUAGGGAAUCUUCGGCAAUGGGGGGAACCUUGACCGAGCAACGCCGCGUGAGUGAAGAAGGUUUUCGGAUCGUAAAGCUCUGUUGUAAGAGAAGAACGGGUGUGAGAGUGGAAAGUUCACACUGUGACGGUAUCUUACCAGAAA
rnacentral:rRNA from 1 species